CGCCCUUCGGGGUGAGCGGCGGACGGGUUAGUAACGCGUGGGAAUAUGCCCGACACUAAGGAAUAGCCUCUGGAAACGGAGAGUAAUACCUUAUACGCCCUUCGGGGGAAAGAUUUAUCGGUGACGGAUUAGCCCGCGUUAGAUUAGAUAGUUGGUGGGGUAAUGGCCUACCAAGUCUACGAUCUAUAGCUGGUUUUAGAGGAUGAUCAGCAACACUGGGACUGAGACACGGCCCAGACUCCUACGGGAGGCAGCAGUGGGGAAUCUUGGACAAUGGGCGCAAGCCUGAUCCAGCCAUGCCGCGUGAGUGAUGAAGGCCUUAGGGUCGUAAAGCUCUUUCGCCAGAGAUGAUAAUGACAGUAUCUGGUAAAGAAACCCCGGCUAACUCCGUGCCAGCAGCCGCGGUAAUACGGAGGGGGUUAGCGUUGUUCGGAAUUACUGGGCGUAAAGCGCGCGUAGGCGGAUUAGUCAGUUAGAGGUGAAAUCCCGGGGCUCAACCCCGGAACUGCCUUUAAUACUGCUAGUCUUGAGUUCGAGAGAGGUGAGUGGAAUUCCGAGUGUAGAGGUGAAAUUCGUAGAUAUUCGGAGGAACACCAGUGGCGAAGGCGGCUCACUGGCUCGAUACUGACGCUGAGGUGCGAAAGUGUGGGGAGCAAACAGGAUUAGAUACCCUGGUAGU
rnacentral:rRNA from 1 species